rnacentral:rRNA from 1 species
UACGAAGGGGGCUAGCGUUGCUCGGAAUGACUGGGCGUAAAGGGCGCGUAGGCGGCGCAGUUAGUCAGGCGUGAAAUUCCUGGGCUCAACCUGGGAACUGCAUUUGAUACUACUGAGCUUGAGUACGGGAGAGGAUAGUGGAAUUCCCAGUGUAGAGGUGAAAUUCGUAGAUAUUGGGAAGAACACCGGUGGCGAAGGCGGCUAUCUGGACCGUAA